AUUGAACGCUGGCGGCAGGCCUAACACAUGCAAGACGAACGGUAGCACAGAGGAGCUUGCUCCUUGGGUGACGAGUGGCGGACGGGUGAGUAAUGUCUGGGAAACUGCCCGAUGGAGGGGGAUAACUACUGGAAACGGUAGCUAAUACCGCAUAACGUCGCAAGACCAAAGAGGGGGACCUUCGGGCCUCUUGCCAUCGGAUGUGCCCAGAUGGGAUUAGCUAGUAGGUGGGGUAACGGCUCACCUAGGCGACGAUCCCUAGCUGGUCUGAGCGGAUGACCAGCCACACUGGAACUAAGACACGGUCCAGACUCCUACGGGAGGCAGCAGUGGGGAAUAUUGCACAAUGGGCGCAAGCCUGAUGCAGCCAUGCCGCGUGUAUGAAGAAGGCCUUCGGGUUGUAAAGUACUUUCAGCGAGGAGGAAGGCGUUGUGGUUAAUAACCGCAGCGAUUGACGUUACUCGCAGAAGAAGCACCGGCUAACUCCGUGCCAGCAGCCGCCGCAG
rnacentral:rRNA from 1 species